rnacentral:rRNA from 1 species
CACGUAGGGUGCGAGCGUUGUCCGGAAUUAUUGGGCGUAAAGAGCUCGUAGGCGGUCUGUCGCGUCGAUCGUGAAAACUUGGGGGCUUAACCCUGAGCUUGCGGUCGAUACGGGCAUGACUGGAGUUCGGCAGGGGAGACUGGAAUUCCGUGGUGUAGCGGUGAAAUGCGCAGAUAUCAGGAGGAACACCGGUGGCGAAGGCGGGUCUCUGGGCCUUACCUGACGCUGGAGGAGCGAAAGCGUGGG